UACCAGCACCCCGAGUGGUCGGGACGAUUAUUGGGCCUAAAGCAUCCGUAGCCGGUCAUGCAAGUCCUCCGUUAAAUCCAGCCGCUCAACGGUUGGGCUGCGGAGGAUACUACGUGGCUAGGAGGCGGGAGAGGCAAGCGGUACUCAGUGGGUAGGGGUAAAAUCCUUUGAUCCAUUGAAGACCACCAGUGGCUAAGGCGGCUUGCCAGAACGCGCUCGACGGUGAGGGAUGAAAGCUGGGUGAUCAAACCGG
rnacentral:rRNA from 1 species